AACAGGUACAAGAGCUACUAAGAGUACAAAGUAAGACAUAAUAAUGAAAAGACACAGCUUCCAUCAUGUAGAAGGAAAAGUAGAAGCUGCUGGAGAUUUGCCUUCGUCUUCACCUAUGAAACAUCACUGAUCCUGCAAUCAGACUAUGCCCAAAAGGCAUAGUAAGAGUAGUAUCAGUACAAUCACACGUACUGGUAAGCAUCAUCGGUCAACCCGAAUACCCACCGCAUAAUAUAGGAAAUCAACUGGCGAAAUAUGCAAUAAGACUAAUCACUCCUCCACCUUUAUAUUUUGACCGCCCUUACCCUUCCAAAUAUUAAUAUCAUACUAGUUCACUUGCCUCUAACCCCUCACUUACUUCUUUCGUGAUUACACCUAAUCAAUUAAUCCCUUAAUGAAGUCCCUAAAAUAUUACUACCAACUCGGCCAACCACUCACGACACAGCCUUACGUUUUACUCGUCUCUACUCAACUUAUGACCCCGCGAUACGCCUAUAGAGGAUAACUAUUCGUUUAUAUUUACCAUUCACAAUUCAUUACACCACUCGAUAUGUCCAAUAACUUACGACAUCGCAAUCCCCACAUAUAAGAACAUAAUGUACAAUCCACUAAUCAUUUGAGGAAACAUGCCCAACUCCACAUUAUCAGUACUACAAGCAAUUACACAUAUAUGGCAUGUCUAUGGUCCUCUCAUGGAACUCACAUCCAAACUGUUAGUGUACUGGUACAUGGCACCCGUUCCAAGUUAGUGUGUCGGAUCAUGACACCCGUUCCAAUGUUUAUGCCAGUACGUGGCAACCGAUCACAGUAAGUUUGUCGAAGCGCAACACCCGAUCCAUUCAACAAGCCACAAUCACAAUCGCAAGUAUAUUAUCAUAAUCUUACAAUUAAGUCAUGAAUCAUGGCAUUCAAUUAUUCGUCUAUCCAUAUUUACGAAUAUUGUUAUCAAUAAUGUAACAUUCGCAUACAUACAUGUAUCAUAAUAAAGCAAGAACAAACAUAUAUCACACAACAUGAAAUCACGACCAUCAGCUCGCCCUAGUUCAUAGUCUAAGGCUUCCUCCUACGAUUUAGUCAUAUUUUCUUCGGUACACGAAGGCCUACGCAUAAAUCCUAUCAUUGAUUAACAUUACUACGCAGUGAGCACAAGUUUAUAACUACUCAAAUAAUAAACCUAACCUACCUGGGAGCCAAUCAGCUGCAUAGAGUUAAAAUUCCAAUUCUCGUUUCCGGACGACAUGACGGUGAAUUUGGUCAAGAAUCUGCAUGUUUUCGACCUCGUUAUGCUAGAAAUAUUUUUCUCCUCCCUUCCUAAGCUUAGAGCAGCUUUUGGAGGGUUUCUGGGGUGAUUUACGUGUAAAUUAGGUGUUUUGGGGAAAAGGAGAAAAUUAGACUUCGCGUUAUUUACAUUCUGUCUCGCCUAUCUCGCUCUGCCGGCUACUUACCCCAAUGUGGCACUUCCCCCCUAGCGGCAUCUGGCCCGAACUUGCGGGACAGUGGCCCCAACAUUUACCCAAAGUUUUGCUUUUCCAAAAUAAUGACAGUUCAAGUCGUUACAAUAGAUACCAAUUUACCCCUCGUUCGUCCACGAAUGACCAGUGAACGAAUCAUUACGCAUCCUAUCUCAGAGUACUUCUAAGCUAACUAAUUGGUCCCUUACAGGACCACGAAGGAUGGUGAUUUUUCCAAAAUUUGAACCACCAAGGGUGCUACACUCAAAGGUCCGGUUAGGAAUUUAAGGCAAUACAUGAAUAACCAAACGCGUCGAACUUACACAGCCUGACCCCACCAGGGCGGCAGCCCUUCCGCUGAGGCGGGGCUGCUGUGGCGAGGGAUUUCCCGCUGUAGCGGGAGCUCGAAAAUUGUAGGGGGGGGGGGAAGGGGAAUGGUUUCCCUAUUUCCUCCUCUUCUCUCCAAAACAUUCCCAAAACUCUAUCAGCCACUUCGUUCUGAAUGUCAAAAUCAAGGUAUUAAUCUCGUUCCUCAUGUUAUUUCGUUCAUUACUUACUCAACUACCCUUGUAUGAUGUUGAACGAUUGAUUAGAAUUAGUUCUAGGGGUAGUUUUUUCGAAAAUGAACAUAGGUUGCUUGUUUGAUAGAAAAAUGUAGCAUGGACACUUCCCUUACGUCCCCAACGUCUCCAUGACGUCCUGGGCGAAAGGAUUUUGUCAAAAUAUGGUCGAAUCGAUACCAAAAUUGGUGGGGGAAGUGGAAAAGUCUCUUGAUGAAAAAUCACUAUUUAGGGGUUAUUUCCUCGAAAUAAUAGCAUAUUUAAGUUCUAGGGUACUUAAUAGGUUCUGAUAUGCUGAACUUCUGUAGAAAAUGGGGGUUUUGGGACAAAGUGGUGCCAUGAUCGCGCCUGGUGUUCAUCCCAGAUGAAGGUCCCUGGCGACCUUCAUCCUGUUGUGGAGGCCUCCAUCAUUCCAGUCUAGCGGGAUUCUGGGCACUGUGACAGGACCUGGGAAAACAGUGGCCUAGGUCCCUUUUUUAGAUAGAAAUUUAAUUUUUCCUUGAACCAUGUAUUGUCUAAUCCCAUGAUGUUUUAACGUAUACCUUUCGACUUUUGGAGGCUUAUUUAAAUAGCUGGUAUCAACAAGGAAAAUUUGCCCUUCGUCCAGUUUCCUGAUGCUGCUAGUCAGGAACGGUACCAUGAUCACCGGAACACUAAGUUUUGCUGCUAGUGGAGUUUCCAUUUAUUGAAUUUGGAGGUGAAGGCGCCUGCCAUUCAUGCUCGGCUUAUGGAGUUUGGCUGGGGCCCACUGACAGAGGCUCCAACUGCUACUCGUUCAAUCUGGGUAAGAGAGUUCUACGUUGUCCUACCUACUGUUUGCUGGGACGAUCCUCACCCUACUAUUUGCAUCCGAGGAGUGGACAUCCCCUUGAACGCUCCAUCCAUAAAUGAUGUACUCGCGAUGCCCGAGGUCCCUAACACAGAGUACGAGGCUAAGCUGCGGGAGAUGGACUUAGGAUGGUUGUAGGAUACGCUGGGAGCCUGCUGGUGGAGCCAACACGUAGAGACAAGGUUUACUGGGCUACUACGGAGGGUAUCACUAGCACCGAUUGGUCACCGGAUGCUAAGAAGUGGCUACACUUGGUUACUAGGAGGAUCCGCUCAUCAGGAAAUUGCAUUGACAUGACAUUUCCUCGAAAUUUGGUGGUGGCGUGCGCGAUUCAAGGCAUAGGGCUGAACGUGGGCACAUAGAUCAUUUCAGAAUGGAAGGUGUUCUAUCGAAGUAAUAAAAAUGUGUUCUUCCUUCCUGGACUAGUGACUCCGCUGUGCAAGAGGGCGGGAAUGCCACUCCUACACAAUGAUGAGGUACUCCCCACGAACCCUCAUUUUCACCCUCUUUUGAUUAGGCAGGGUUCUACCUACAAGAGCAAGAAGAGGAGGACAGAUAGAGACAGCAGCAGCCAGGCAGCUGCGGAGGAUGAGGGAGGAGAUGAUGGUGCAGGUGACGACACUCUUCCUACCAACAGUCCCAACCCUCGCUUUCCAGUGCUCGAGUGGAGGAGGACCUGGCAGCCAUCCGGCAAAUAUUUUGGGGCUCGUGGGAUAGUACCUCGACUUUAGUUCCACCCGUUAUUGCUCUUGAAUUGGAGAUACUCCGCCGCCAGCUGCGAUGGGAGAAAAAGAAGAACUUGGAGAGAGAUCAUCUACUGGGCCGGAUGUGGAAGACUCUUAAGGUCAUUUUCUCCUGCGUCGCCCCUCAGCAAAAGCUUCCCACGCUUGAGCCGGAUGACUUCCAGGAGUUUUCUUGGUUGAGUGACUAUUGGGCUGGCGAGACAACACCUGAGGACAUGGGGUUCGACAGCGACACCUCGCAUUCCCAAGGUUAUUGAUUGGGUUUCUGCCCCUCUUGGGCAUGUAUUGAACAAUACUUUAUUUUAACUUUCUGUUUUCCUAGAUUUUUGUACGUACAACGAUGUUGGUUUCUAGCUAUUUUUCCCUCAUUAAUAUUAAAUGCUAAGGCUUAUAGCUUAUUGUUCUAUUGUUAAAUACUGAUUGAAUUGCCUGGAUUAGUUCGGAUAUCAUUCGAGGUCUGUAUUUGUGACUAGGAAAAAUAGAGGAGACAAGGCUGAGAUUCUAUCUCACCCUAUCCCGCUCUGGCAGGAGGAAUCCCGCACUGGCGGCCUCUCCUUGGCGGGAAAAAUCCCACCCCAGCGGCCUUAAAGAAAACAGAACCCCUGCCAACAAUUUCCUGAGGUUCUUUUCAUUUUUUAAUUUCCCCAUAGAUUUUCACCUAUAACCUUGGAAGUUUUAGAGUAAUCCCCUUAGUACGGAGGGGUAAUGUCUACUCUGGUUUACGCAACGAUACCCCCCCCCCCCCCAAACUCACUCUCAUUAACUCGACUUUGUCACCCAUACGUUCACACGAUACGCCCAGACACUCACACUAUUAUAGCUUGCGUAAUUUCAACAAUAGGCCAGCAUAUUGCACAUAUCAAGGUUCAGACAUGCUAUUAUUGUGCACAUAAUCAUAUUAUCACGUCCAAGGAAAUACAACUUCCACAUUCACAAUUAAUUCUGACAACAGAAACAUGCACUCACAGUUUCAAAGUUACAACUCACAGAGAAGUCCAAUUAUUAGCUAGUUCGUAUCCAUAGAUGACCAAUACUGAUCAUUCAUUCCCUUGUACAACCUCUAAGGCCAUAUACCAAUUGGAACCUUCUUAGUUCCAAUUUUCUUUGCUUGUGUCCCGUCAGUCGUGACCACGACGUCUAGUUCACUUUGUUGAGAUACCAAUUGGAAUCGGAAGAUACCAAUUGGACUCAACUCAUACCACAGGCGAAACUCGUACGAAAGAAGAGAAAAAGUGGAACAACUUCCUAGAAUGUUUCCUAACUUCUUGAAGAUUAGAUGUGGAUGUCAACACAUCAAUCUGCAGGAAUCUAGUCCAUAUUUUUCUCUUGUACUGGGAGACCGGUAACCUGGGCACUGAUACCAAUUUGUCACGACUCAACCCACCGGGCCAUGCGGGCACUUAGUCUAACACCUAAAUAGGAGAACCCUCGAUUCCCAAUAGUUAAAAUCAUGCGGAAAAUUAAGAAAACUACUGAAAUAAGGAAAUUCAUAUAGUAUUGUUAUAAAAACAAGAAUUCAAAACGACUCAAGGUUAAGACAUGUAAAGUAAUUAACACCCCAGGGAUCUAGUUUAAACAUGUAUAAGAGCUACUAAGAGUACAAAAGUAAGACAUAAUAAUGAAAAGACACAGCUUCCAUCAUGCGGAAGGAAAAAAAUAGAAGCUGUUGGAGAUUCGCCUUCGUCUUCACCUAUGAAACAUCACUGAUCCUACAACCAGACUAUGCCAAAAAGGCAUAACAAGAGUAGUAUCAGUAGAACCCCACGUACUGGUAGGCAUCAUCGGUCAACCCGAAUACCCACCGCAUAAUAUAAUAAAUCAACUGGCGAAAUAUGCAAUAAGACUAAUCCCUCCUCCACCUUUAUAUUUUGACUGCCAUUACCCUUCCGAAUAUUAAUAUCAUACUAAUUCAGUUGCCUCUAACCCCUCACUUCUUCGUUUGUGUUUAUACCUAAUCAAUUAAUUCCUUAAGAAAGUCUCGAAAAUACUACUACCAACCCGACCAACCACUCAUGACACACCCUUACGUUUUACUCGUCUCUACUCAACUUAUGACCCCGCGUUACGCCUAUAGAGGCUUACUAUCUGUUUAUAUUUAACAUUCACAAUUCAUUACACCACCCGAUAUCUCCAAUAACUUACAACAUCACAAUCCCCACAUAUAAGAACAUAAUGUACAAUCCACCAAUCCUUUCAGGAAACAUGCCCAAUUCCACAUUAUCAGUAAUACGAGCAAUUACACAUAUAUGGCAAGUCAAUGGUCAUCUCAUGGAACCCACACCCAAACUGUUAGUAUACUGGUAUGUGGUACCCAUUCUAUGUUAGUG
rnacentral:lncRNA from 1 species